GAUGAACGCUGGCGGCGUGCCUAAUACAUGCAAGUCGAGCGAACAGACGAGGAGCUUGCUCCUCUUACGUUAGCGGCGGACGGGUGAGUAACACGUGGAUAACCUACCUAUAAGACUGGGAUAACUUCGGGAAACCGGAGCUAAUACCGGAUAAUAUAUUGAACCGCAUGGUUCAAUAGUUAAAGACGGUUUUGCUGUCACUUAUAGAUGGAUCCGCGCCGCAUUAGCUAGUUGGUAAGGUAACGGCUUCCCAAGGCAACGAUGCGUAGCCGACCUGAGAGGGUGAUCGGCCACACUGGAACUGAGACACGGUCCAGACUCCUACGGGAGGCAGCAGUAGGGAAUCUUCCGCAAUGGGCGAAAGCCUGACGGAGCAACGCCGCGUGAGUGAUGAAGGUCUUCGGAUCGUAAAACUCUGUUAUUAGGGAAGAACAAAUGUGUAAGUAACUAUGCACGUCUUGACGGUACCUAAUCAGAAAGCCACGGCUAACUACGUG
rnacentral:rRNA from 1 species